rnacentral:lncRNA from 1 species
UUUUUACUUGAGAUGCUGAACUGCUGUCAGACUUUUGUGGGCUAUAUCAAUUUUUAUGUAGAAAAAAGGUGUUACCCUAAUUUUUAACAUGUUAACUGAAAUUCAUUUAUUCCCCAUAAUAUGUUUUUGAAGUAGUUUCAGGUAAUUGGAUGACAUCAGUUCUGCAACAAAGAGAACGAGCCUUGUUGGUUUUAUAAUAAAUCAAGAGAACAUGAAGGGAGGAGUGAGAAAGAGACUCUUUUGUAGAGAGAGAAGGUGCAACAACCAGGGUGUAGGAGACAAUAGAUGUGAAGUUGGAUGCGGAUCUGAGAAGAUAGUCUAGGCAAAGAGAAUUUGCAGCUAUGUUGCGGAUAGUGAGUGAGGGAUAGGGAUUUGAAAAAGCUUAUCGAAUUUGAGGGAUGGAUUUUCAGACAUGGCAG